CCUACGGGAGGCAGCAGUGAGGAAUAUUGGUCAAUGGACGCAAGUCUGAACCAGCCAUGCCGCGUGCAGGAAGACGGCUCUAUGAGUUGUAAACUGCUUUUGUACGAGGGUAAACGCAGAUACGCGUAUCUGUCUGAAAGUAUCGUACGAAUAAGGAUCGGCUAACUCCGUGCCAGCAGCCGCGGUAAUACGGAGGAUUCAAGCGUUAUCCGGAUUUAUUGGGUUUAAAGGGUGCGUAGGCGGUCGGAUAAGUAGCUAGUGAAAUCUGGUGGCUCAACCAUUCAGACUAUUAGCUAAACUGUUAAGCUCGAGACCGUUAGGGGUAACUGGAAUUUCUAGUGUAGGAGUGAAAUCCGUAGAUAUUAGAAGGAACACCAAUAGCGUAGGCAGGUUGCUGGGACGGUUCUGACACUAAGGCACGAAAGCGUAGGGAGCAAACGGGAUUAGAUACCCGAGUAGUC
rnacentral:rRNA from 1 species